rnacentral:misc_RNA from 1 species
UUUAUGAGCUACAAAAGAUUAUCUGAAUAAUGUCGAUUAAUACAUGUAUGUAAUACAUGUAUGUCAACUUUUAAUUAAUUGACUGCAUAGUGGAAACUAUACAUGGACUCUACUCUCACAGAUUUUCAGAAAUAUGCAAUCAAGAAUUUGUUCUUACCAUUGAAAUGAAUCUGUUUUCCAAUAAAUUGCAUUGACCUUAGUAUUUCUUAACCGUUCAUGUAAAAUAUCAAUCUGCAAUUGAGGUAUUGUCUAAAUUGGCAGAAAAAUCAAAGUUAUAUUUUAGACCAUUGUAAUGUUGGAAAUUAAUACUAUAAUUUGUGUUACAUGGGUUUCUCGUUUUUAGGCUUUUCCCAAAUAAAUAUCUUUUCAACAACCUUGAAAAAGAUAUUACUGUAUUUUGAUAUUAUUAUUGCAGAUUUUAAAGUUGUUUUCAUGUGUUUUGAUUGCAUUUUGGGGUGUACAUGCCACAAACCGAGUUUCCAAGGUGACAAAGUCUUGUCAUGAGUUUACAUUUACAUUAUCAAACAAUUUCAUUUACCAAGAUAGUCUAAAUGAGUUAACUGGUUCUUUUUGGAUCAAAAUUUUUGCACCCUUCUAUCGGGUGUAGUACUAUUGUUUACUGUGAUUUCAUUAAUAUUUAAGGGUAUCAAUUUUCGUGGAUAAAGUGAAAAUCACAGUUUCAAGGAAACGUAAAAUCGUGGCCAAUGACCCUAUCAAUUCAAGAUGUUAGAAAUUGCACUUCAUUCAUGGAUCAACUUAAUAACGAAAUCCACGAAAAUUGGUAUUCAACGAAUAUUGAUGAAACUACAGAAAUAGUAUUGGUCUGUGGUUCACAGUUUGAACCAUUAUAAUGAUGUUUGAAUAAAGAUACCAUG